rnacentral:rRNA from 1 species
AUUGAACGCUGGCGGCAGGCCUAACACAUGCAAGUCGAGCGGAGGAAGGGAGCUUGCUCCUGGAUUCAGCGGCGGACGGGUGAGUAAUGCCUAGGAAUCUGCCUGGUAGUGGGGGAUAACGUCCGGAAACGGGCGCUAAUACCGCAUACGUCCUGAGGGAGAAAGUGGGGGAUCUUCGGACCUCACGCUAUCAGAUGAGCCUAGGUCGGAUUAGCUAGUUGGUGGGGUAAAGGCCUAUCAAGGCGACGAUCCGUAACUGGUCUGAGAGGAUGAUCAGUCACACUGGAACUGAGACACGGUCCAGACUCCUACGGGAGGCAGCAGUGGGGAAUAUUGGACAAUGGGCGAAAGCCUGAUCCAGCCAUGCCGCGUGUGUGAAGAAGGUCUUCGGAUUGUAAAGCACUUUAAGUUGGGAGGAAGGGCAGUAAGUUAAUACCUUGCUGUUUUGACGUUACCAACAGAAUAAGCACCGGCUAACUUCGUG